AUUGAACGCUGGCGGCAUGCCUUACACAUGCAAGUCGAACGGCAGCGGACCUUCGGGUGCCGGCGAGUGGCGAACGGGUGAGUAAUGCAUCGGAACGUGCCAUUGAGUGGGGGAUAACGUAGCGAAAGUUGCGCUAAUACCGCAUAUUCUGUGAGCAGGAAAGCAGGGGACCGCAAGGCCUUGCGCUCUUUGAGCGGCCGAUGUCAGAUUAGCUAGUUGGUGAGGUAACGGCUUACCAAGGCGACGAUCUGUAGCGGGUCUGAGAGGAUGAUCCGCCACACUGGAACUGAGACACGGUCCAGACUCCUACGGGAGGCAGCAGUGGGGAAUUUUGGACAAUGGGCGCAAGCCUGAUCCAGCCAUGCCGCGUGAGUGAAGAAGGCC
rnacentral:rRNA from 1 species